rnacentral:rRNA from 1 species
GACGAACGCUGGCGGCGUGCUUAACACAUGCAAGUCGAACGAAGUGGCGAACGGGUGAGUAACGCGUAAUCAACCUGCCCUUCAGAGGGGGACAACAGUUUGAAACGACUGCUAAUACCGCAUACUGAGGGAGGGGAUUGCGUCUGAUUAGCUAGUUGGCGGUGUAACGGCCCACCAAGGCGAUGAGCAGUAGCCGGUCUGAGAGGAUGAACGGCCACAUUGGGACUGAGACACGGCCCAGACUCCUACGGGAGGCAGCAGUGGGGAAUCGUCCGCAAUGGACGAAAGUCUGACGGAGCAACGCCGCGUGAGUGAUGACGGCCUUCGGGUUGUAAAGCUCUGUUAAUCGGGACGCGGUACCGGAAUAGAAAGCCACGGCUAACUACGUGCCAGCCGCCGCGGUAAUUC